rnacentral:rRNA from 1 species
AACGAACGCUGGCGGCAUGCCUAACACAUGCAAGUCGAACGAGACCUUCGGGUCUAGUGGCGCACGGGUGCGUAACGCGUGGGAACCUGCCUUUAGGUUCGGAAUAACUCAGGGAAAUUUGAGCUAAUACCGGAUGAUGUCUUCGGACCAAAGAUUUAUCGCCUUUAGAUGGGCCCGCGUUGGAUUAGCUAGUUGGUGGGGUAAAGGCCUACCAAGGCGACGAUCCAUAGCUGGUCUGAGAGGAUGAUCAGCCACACUGGGACUGAGACACGGCCCAGACUCCUACGGGAGGCAGCAGUGGGGAAUAUUGGACAAUGGGCGAAAGCCUGAUCCAGCAAUGCCGCGUGAGUGAUGAAGGCCUUAGGGUUGUAAAGCUCUUUUACCCGAGAUGAUAAUGACAGUAUCGGGAGAAUAAGCUCCGGCUAACUCCGUG